ACAUAAUGUUUCUUUAAUAUAUGUUUAGGAGCCUUAAAAUUAAGCCAGACUACUGUUUUAAUGCUUCUCAUUAUCUUUUAGCUAUUUUUAUUCCAUAGCAUUUGGAAGACGCCAGGACACGUUAAUGGGACAUGAUGAUGCUGUUAGUAAGAUCUGUUGGCAUGACAACAGGCUAUAUUCUGCAUCGUGGGACUCUACAGUGAAGGUGUGGUCUGGUGUUCCUGCAGAGAUGCCAGGCACCAAAAGACACCACUUUGACUUGCUGGCCGAGCUGGAACAUGAUGUCAGUGUAGAUACAAUCAGUUUAAAUGCUGCAAGCACACUGUUAGUUUCCGGCACCAAAGAAGGCACAGUGAAUAUUUGGGACCUCACAACGGCCACCUUAAUGCACCAGAUUCCAUGCCAUUCAGGGAUUGUAUGUGACACUGCUUUUAGCCCAGGUAGAUAUUAUCCUUUUUAAAACAGAUAAUACUAGGUAAAUUGGAAUUUUGAAAUAAACAAUAUUGUUAAUUUUGAAAUAAACAAUAAAACUUACAAAG
rnacentral:lncRNA from 1 species